rnacentral:sRNA from 1 species
AAGCAAGCAGGGCUAUGAUUCUAAACUCUUCCUAAGAAACUGUCAUAUCUAUCCUCAUUUUCUAAGGGAGCUAAUGAAGCACAGAGGAGUUCAGGCAACUUGCCCAGGACAAACAGCUCUUCUCACAAACAAUUGAGGGGAAGAAGGGUUCGUUUUACCCCAGUUUGAAGGCAUAGUUCAUUGCGAUGGAGAGACAGUUGGAGAGUAAGGCUGUCACACUAUUAGUUAUGCACUGGCAUGGAAGGAUAAGUCCUCACACAAAGGAGAUGCUUCUCACGGAGCAUUGAGAGAAACCAUGGAAGACUGCCUUUCCUACUGUCAAGCAUCUAUGUCCCAGUCCUCUGACUUCUGCGUGAUAUUGCAAUCUCCAGGAAAGAAUAAACUUCUCUAUUUCACUCAAUGAUGGAUUCCAGAACUGGGACAGUGAUGGGCACCUAAGACAAAAAGGACACGAAGGCAUGACACUCUGGAACCUUCCUUUUCUUUUUAUGCACAUUAAAAAAAUGCUUAUGACAUAA